UUAAAAACUGUGAUUGAGGAAAGUAAUUUUCAUUAGAGUCUUCAGAGAGUUGGUAGCGCUGGAAACCAAUGGCAAUGAUGUUGAUGAAGUUCCCUCAGGAGUUGAUUGGCUGAACAUUCAUGAGUGAAGUAAUUUAUUCGUAUCACCAUUAGGCGAAUCCGGUGUCCCUCAUCGUUAAAAUAGGAAGAACGGGGCUAAUGUUGGUCGUGUUCUAAAAAGGUGGAUUAGUUAAUAAUCAAAUUAGGUGGUACCGCGAGUCAGACUCGUCCUUUUC
rfam:Acetobacterium wieringae strain DSM 1911 ACWI_contig000033, whole genome shotgun sequence.